GACGAACGCUGGCGGCGCGCUUAACACAUGCAAGUCGAGCGAAGCGGCGGACGGGUGAGUAACACGUGAGUAACCUGCCUUAGACAUUGGGAUAGCCUCGGGAAACCGGGAUUAAUACCAAAUGGUGGGGGAUGGACUCGCGUUCUAUCAGCUUGUUGGUGGGGGAGUGGCCAACCAAGGCGACGACGGGUAGCCGACAUGGGAGGGGAAACGGCCACAUUGGGACUGAGGUACGGACCAAUCGCAACGGGAGGCAGCGGUGGAAAGUAUUGCACAGUCAGGGAAACCCUGAUGCGGAAGCGCCGGGUGCGUAAUGACGUCCUUCGGGUUGUAAACCGCUUUCAGCCAUGACGCGGUAGUGGCAGAAGAAGCACCGGCUAACUACGUGCCAGCAGCCGCGGUAAUUC
rnacentral:rRNA from 1 species